UGAAAAUUGAUCUGUCAGAAUAUGAGAUCUGUUUUUUAAUUGGACAUCGGAUUUGGUUAGAAACUAAGCUCCCAAUCACUUGUCGAAACUAUAAACUCAUGCUGACCUAAAAUCAGAUAUUAAUUUGAGCCUUUAAAAGACUCAUCGAGGCUAACUUUUGCUAGCUAAACCUUACUAUGAAAUAGGUAACAGAUGUCAAAUAAUUAGAAAAAGAGGAUAAGAUUGUCAACAACAAUAAUCAUAUUCGGGAAUAUAUUUUUACUAAGAGAACAUUUCAAUUCAGCAGCUCCAAGUUAUCCCAUUAAAGAUCAGUCAAGACUUCCCCUUCCAGGCUUCCACUUCCUUUUCAAGGUAUUCCUGAGAACAGGACUUAUUGAUUAUGCCGCUGAGUUAGAAAAUCGACCGACAAGCACAUACCAAAAUUAAAAAAACAAUUGAUAUUUCAUUCUCAGUGAUCAUAUAUUUAUAUGCUGCCCAACAACAAAUCUUCAACAGACUCCUAAUGUCUCUGGUCGAGAAGCAGUGCUGAAGAAACCGAAUGGGUCCUAUACUUCAGCUGGGAAAUGGGCCCCAUGCUUUGGCUAGAAAAUGGGCCUCAUGCUUCAAUUAGGCCAAUGCAUCAUGGGCUUUUGAGAGGAAAUAAACAAAUGAGUCCAAUUUGUGAUUGUUUAGAAAGGAGCAUUCAUCAACAGGAGAAUCACAAUCAAGGGUUAAAGCAAGGUUUUAAAAAAUCAGACUGGUGAUUAAACUGAACGGAUGGUAUAAAUUCGGUAAAACCUUCCCCUUAGCUAAUCAGGUAGUUUCAAUUUGUCGGUGAUGAGGACGGAGCUCAAGCUUCAACUCUAGAUUCUGAUCUCACCUUCAUUCCCCAGCUAAUGAAGCAGUUUCAAUUUGUCGUAGCAAUUGUAAAAUUCUCAAACUAAUCUCUUUUGACAUUCAUCGUGCGAACCACAAAGAUAAAUUCUUUCUUUGUACUGUUCUUCAUGGUUUCGUAAUUCAUUCCUCAAUAUUCAAAGGGAUUGGUUUGAUGUUUUCUUUA